rnacentral:rRNA from 1 species
UACGUAGGGGGCAAGCGUUGUCCGGAUUUAUUGGGCGUAAAGAGCGUGUAGGCGGCCUGACAGGUCUGCUGUGAAAACUCGAGGCUCAACCUCGAGAUGUCGGCGGAAACCGUCUGGCUAGAGUCCGGAAGAGGAGAGUGGAAUCCCUGGUGUAGCGGUGAAAUGCGCAGAUAUCAGGAGGAACACCAAUGGCGAAGGCAGCUCGCUGGGACGUGACUGACGCUGAGACGCGAAAGCGUGGGGAGCAAACAGG